rnacentral:rRNA from 1 species
UACGUAGGUGGCAAGCGUUGUCCGGAUUUACUGGGUGUAAAGGGCGUGCAGCCGGGCUGACAAGUCAGAUGUGAAAUCCCGCGGCUCAACCGCGGAACUGCAUUUGAAACUGCCAUGCUGGAGUGCCGGAGAGGUAAGCGGAAUUCCUAGUGUAGCGGUGAAAUGCGUAGAUAUUAGGAGGAACACCAGUGGCGGAGGCGGCUUACUGGACGGUAACUGACGCUGAGGCUCGAAAGCGUGGGGAGCAAACAGG